UACUAUUUGCCUAUAUAAGCAAGCAUUUAUAGUCUAGAAUAUGUACUGUAUACAAUACAAUAUGGACACAAAAUGGAUAUCUACUCUCACAAUGGUAUUUUUAUUGGCUUUCUUCGUUAUUGUAUCAGGUACAAAACAAACUGUUAAAUUAGAUCAUUUUUGUUUUAUUUUAUGCUAUAAUUUUUCACUUAAAACUUAUUUUCCUUUUCAAUCUCUCAUUUAUAUAUAUCAAUUAUCUUACAAUCACAUGUAUUGUUUGAAUAUGUAGAUAUGAGUAAAGAAGUAGAAGGAGCAAGUGGAUAUUAUAAAGGUUAUGCAUGUAAAACAGAUAAACAAUGUACACUCGAUUGUCCUACUGGACAAAGUGGAAGAUGUGUGCUUGGGAAGUGUUGGUGUUUUGACGCACCACCAACUACCGAUAAUAUUCCUAGUCUUUAAUACUUUUGAAAUUUUAAAUUAAGUAUUGAAGUAUUGUAAUGCACUCAUCAUUUAUAGGUGCAAAUUAUAUAUCCAAAUAAAUAGUCAUUGGGGAAAUAAAUAUCUUAUUGAGUAAAAAUUUAUUUAUAAAGUUACAUAUAACUAUAAAUUUUUUAUCUUUUUUUUUUUUAUAAUUAAUAUAUAAAGAUAAAGACACCUUUUAGUUUCUAAAAAGUUAUGUGAAAAUCAAUUAUGUGUUUGAAAAAAAUUAAAAUUAAUAUUUAGUUAAUUAUUAAAAAAAUAAAUCAAGACAAUUUAAUUUAUACGUGAAUGAUAUCCAAAAAAUAACAAUUAAAUCUAUAAUAAUAAUUAAAAAGGAAAAUUUAACAAUUUUUAAUAAUUAAAAGGCUAAAUAUCAUUUGUGGUCCCUUAAUUUAAUUUCAGUUAACGUUUUAGUCCUUUAUCUUUUUUUUUCUUCCAAUUUAGUCCUUUAUUCCUAACAAUAUCAAAUAAAGUAUAAAAAUAUGAGUUUAUUUGAAGAUUUGCGUUACGAAUUUGAUGAAAUUUGUAUUAUAUUGAAGAAUAUAAUUAAUUUUAUCAGUUUUGUUUUAAUUUCUUUUUAAAUUUUUGUAUAAAAAAGAAUAACACUGUUGAAAUUUUAAAACAUAAAAUAUCAAAUUGUCACUUAAAAUUAAAAUAAAAGACCAAGUCGGAAAAAAAAAUAGAUAAAAAACUAAUACGUUACCUGAAAUUAAGUUAAGGGACUACAUAUAUAAUUUAGCCUAAUUAAAAGGAGACAAUUUCAUCACUGCAAUAUUAAAAUGUUUCUAAAUGAUUUAUUCUUCAAUAAGUCUCUCCAUUUAGUAUUUUUUUUCUUUAACUUUUAGGAAACCACCAUCUACAUGUAUCAUUAUAACUAUGAAUUAAGUAAUGUUUAAUUUGAUUUCGGUACACUACUGAUAGCAUUUUUUAGAUAUGUUAUUGAUAUAUAUAUAUAUAUAUAUAUAUAUAUAUAUAUAUAUUUUAAUUUUUGAAGUAUUGUUGAUAUUUAAUUAAAUAAUUCUUUUUAUAGAGUGACUUUGUUUGAAUACUAAAGCAAAAUAUUAUUAAAAGAGAAUGAUAUGUAGAUAAAAAAAAAUAUGUUAGAGACUUUUUAUGUUGCAUGGACUAAAUUUUCUAUUUUUAAUUAUUGUCGAGGACCUAGUAAUCUAUUUUUCUCAAAGACCAAAUUGGAUCACACAUUUUUUACAAAGGACUAAAAUAGGUCUUAUUUGUUGUUUACACUUAAAAAUAAAUAAUUUGUUAGUCGAGGAUGACAAACAACCGAAUUCCCCUUGACCGAGGGAGGUCCAAGCAUGCAGAGGCUUAAGACUGAGUCAAAGCUCAAUGUAAUUGAAUAAUUUGUCAGUUGUGCUCAUCUUCCACAUAUUUAUGCCACUAAUGAUAUGUAGAUAAAAAAUCUGUUAGAGGCUUUUUUGUGUUGCAUGGGCUAAAUUUUCUAUUUCUAGUUACUGUCAAGGACCUAGUCAUCUAUUUUUCUAACAGUUGUUUAAGUAAAGAUGAAUUUUCCAAAUUUUAUUUUAUUUGGGACUUAAAGUUGCUUUAAAUUUUCUCAAAGACCAAAUUGGGUCAUACAUUUUUUAUGAAGGAUUAAAAUGAGUCUUAUUUGUUGUUUGCACCUAAAAGUAAAUAAUUUGUUAGGCGAGGAUGAAAAACAACCGAAUUUCCCUUAACCGAGGGAGGUUUGCAAGAAACAACCGAAUAGAAAUUAGUCAAAUCUCUUUCAAAUUUAUAGGAGUCCACAAAGAUUGCAGAGGCUUAAGAUUGAGACAAAGCUCAAUGUAAUUUGUUAAUUUUGUAGUUGCACUCAUCUUCCACGUAUUUAGUGCCACUAAUGAUUAACAUGGCAACACGAUUGAAUGGAUAAAACACACACAUAUUAUUAAUAUAAUGGGACAUGCCUAAGAAAUAGGAAACACGGUUGUGAGGCGCCUCUAAUUUUCCAAACGAGAGUUAGCACAUAUUACCCAUGUAAUUAGUUGAUCAAGGCUACAUUGUAGGCCACAAUUUAUAGCCAUUAGGUUUGAGUUUGCCUAUAAAUACCAGUACUUGUAUUAUUUUAGAUACAUACUAUCAACAUGAUUUCCAAACAUACCCCAUUCAUUAUUUGUGUUUGACUUGUUUGGCCUUACGUUUGCAAAAUCACAUUUUUUAUUGGUUAACGCGUCUUAAAGUUAAAGUUUGAGAAAAGUCCGCUGUAAUGUGUGAUACCAUAAAUGACAUUUAUAAGUUGCAUUUUAUUUAUUUAAUUAUAAACUACUUUUUGUAAGAAAACUUUGCUAUUACUAGGAAGUUUUUGACAUUAAAUUAAUAAAUUAUAGUUAAAUUAAGUUAAUUAAGAUUGCACUGUUUUAUUUGAGGAAUAAUGUUUAAAUUGCUCAAUUAUACUUUGAAAAAUGUGAUAUUCUAAAUCACUUGUAAAAAUAUAUUUUUUUUUCCAAAACCAAAAAAUUCAUUAUCAGCUGCAAAUUAUUUUAUAAAAUAUAAUAUAAUUAUUAUAUAUUAUUUUCGGUGUCACAAUUGGAAUAUUUAUUUUUUAUUUUAUACCACUCCUAUGUUACAGAAACAAGCUUCAAUCACUUAAAAAAAAGAAUUUCAAAUUUGAUAAUAUUUGUGUAUAUUAUUCUUAUGAAAUUAGUAUUAUCUUUUGUUUAAGCUAAAAAUUUAUUAAAAAAAAAAAAAGAAAACAGGGACAUAAACCUAUUCUAGAAAAAAAAAAGUAGUACCAAACAGUGUUUCUAAAUUCAUGUAGAUUUUCUGGUCCUUAGGAAAAAAUUAUAUAAUAUAAUUUCCUUCUACAUAUUCUUGUCAUUUUUUUUUGAAAUCACCUUCGUAAAAAGGUUUUGACUUGCAUUAGAACGAUUCUUUAAAUCGCUAACACAUGCUAUAUUCUCUUCGUCUCUAUUCUAAAUAAAUCCCGCAAUAUCUCAAAGUCAUGAACAAUCUUGAUAUGUAAAUCAUCGUUAGUAACAAUAACAUUUGAGUUAAUGUCCAAUUUAUAAGAGAUUUUAUGGUCAUUGUUCUACUUUGACACUACAUAAUUCCAAUAAUAAAUACUACACAUAUCUAGAUAUUGAUGAACCUCUCCAAGAUGAUUUGUGCUAGCUUAAUUAACUAAGUUGAAAUUAAAGACCUUAUGAAUUAUAUUUAAAAAAUCAUGUGUAGCCUAGACCUCAAUUUCCUCAAAUGUAUCUGGAAUGGUUCCUGAUUCCCCAUUUUUGUUAGAAGCUUUAUCAUGAUUUUUAUCAAUUUUUUCCUCAUUAGAGAGAAAAUUUUCUUGAAUAACAAUGGUGUUUCCUAGUUCAAUGUUGAGGACAUGCUCAACAAAAUAAUAAUUAACGAAACGAUGAAUACUAUUACCUUGUAUAUUUUUGUUUGUACCUUCAGUUUUGACCUUGUCUAAAGCAACAACAUUUUUAAGGACAUAUUUCUUUACCACUGGAAUGGCUUGAGCAGAUUGAACUAUCCAUAAUUCUUGAGACAAAUUGUAGAUGCAAAUCCCGCAUUGGAUCUUUGUAUUUCUUACUAAAUCUGGAUUGAAAUCUUUUAUCCAAGAUAAAAUGCAACAAUUACUUGGUUUCAAAUCCCAAAUACCAAUUGUUCUAAGACUUUGCAAAUCGUAGAUAGAAGCAAAUGAGAACACAUAAAAUUCUUUUAUGAGGGGAACAGUCUUCCAUGACCAAAUCGAUUUUCAUAUUAUUUAAAAAAAAAUUCACAAUAUAACUGGUGUAUCACCCUUAUACAUGGUUAUUCUAUCAUGAAGAUUAUUCUUGCAAUUCACCAAACCCAAUUGACAUUCAUCUUCUAUAAUUUUGAUAGUGAUGAUAGACCAUUUGAUACAGUGUUUUGGUAUUUAACUCAAAGGAAUAUUAUAUGAAUUUUUUAGAGUUUAUGCAAAAGAUUUAAACAAAGGUUGUUGAGUGCUAUUUAACAUAGCUGCAAUGGUUUGUAGAACUAUCUUUGCAGGUGUUGAAUCGCAAAGAACAAACCAUGAGAGUGGUUAUCAAAUUAUUGCCAUUGACUAUAACAACCCAUGACAUAAGAGUUGACAACAUGGAUAAGAGGAUGUCUAGUAGAACUCUGGGAGCCAUAUUGAAUAUUAUAUGAAUUAGUGGGGGAGCUUCAUAUAGAUUGGUAUAUGUAGAUCCUCAUUGUGUAUUGUAGGUUGUAUCAUAUAGAUUGGUAUGUGUAGAUCCUCGUUGCGUAAUGUAGAUUGAUAUAUAUACAUAGACUCAAAUUUAUUUUACCAAUUUUUUUAAUUAUUAAAAUUGUAUUUUUUAUUAGACUAAUUUUUUAAGAUUAGAACAGGUCUCCAAGAUCUUUAGGAUGACCCAAAUAUACAAAUUUUUAUAGACCAAAUUAUAAUGCAAAUGUCUAUUAUAAAAUAAAAUCAGAGGGAAUAAUUAGUAAAAAAAUUACAAAAAUAACUAGUAUAAUUAUAAAAUAAAAUAAAAUUUUCAACUUAAAUUCCAACUUAAUUAUGAAAAAUGUAAACCAAAAUUUGAUCUACUAUAUCUCUCCAUAUAUUUUUAUAAAUUUACAACUUAAAAUUCUUAUAUGCAUUACAGUAUUAUACUUUUUAAUUAUAUAUUAAAAAUUUAAAAUUUGGACCACUCCAAAACUACAAAAGUUUGAAUUUGAUAGUAAACCAAAAGAUAAAUGCAAAUACGAACCAAAAACCGCGUUCGAAUUAUCAUUUAUGAAAACAUUCAAAUUUACAUUUAUAUUUAAUUUAUAUCUCUAUAUUAAAAAUACAACUUUUCAAUUAUUUUACAGAUAUAAUUUCAUAUUAAUAUAUGUUUACUUUUUUUUCUUUCAAAAAUAUGAUUUCCUUUUUUGAUAUAAAAAUAUAAUUAAUUUUGACCAUAUAAAUCAAUUAUUUAUAUAUUUAUUUGUUUUAUAUGUAUUAAAUAUUAUCUUUAUAUUUAUUAUACCAAUAUAAAAUAAUUAAUAUGGUCAUUGUGCAAUCUUACUAUUUGCCUAUAUAAGCACGCAUCUAUAGUCAAGAAUAAGUACGGUCUACAAUAUAAUAUGGAUACAAAAUGGAUAUCUACUCUCACAAUGGUAUUUUUAUUGGCUUUCUUCGUUAUUGUAUCAGGUACGAAACAAACUGUUAAAUUAGAUACUUCUUUGUUUUAUUUUAUGCUAUAAUUUUUCACUUAAAACUUGUUUUUCUUUUCAAUCUCUCAUUUAUAUAUAACAACUAUCUUACGACCACAUGUAUUGUUUGAAAUUGUAGAUAUGAGUAAAGAAGUAGAAGGAGCAAGUGGAUAUUAUAAAGGUUAUGCAUGUAAAACAGAUAAACAAUGUACACCCGAUUGUCCUACGGGACAAAGUGGAAGAUGUGUGCUUGGGAAGUGUUGGUGUUUUGACGCACCACCAACUACUGAUAAUAUUCCUAGUCUUUAAUACUUGAAUUUCAAAUUAAGUAUUGAAGUAUUGUAAUGCACUCAUCAUUUAUGGGUGCAAAUUAUAUAUCCAAAUAAAUAGUCAUUAGGGAAAUAAAUAUCUUAUUGAGUAAUAAAUUUAUUUAAAAAAGUUACAUAUAAUUAUAAAUUGUUUAUCUUUUUUCUUAAUUAAUAUAUAAG
rnacentral:lncRNA from 1 species